rnacentral:rRNA from 1 species
UACGAAGGGGGCUAGCGUUGCUCGGAAUCACUGGGCGUAAAGGGCGCGUAGGCGGCCAGAUAGGUCUGGUGUGAAAACUCGAGGCUUAACCUCGAGAUGUCAUCGGAAACCAUCUGGCUAGAGUCCGGAAGAGGAGAGUGGAAUUCCUGGUGUAGCGGUGAAAUGCGCAGAUAUCAGGAAGAACACCAAUGGCGAAAGCAGCUCUCUGGGACGGUACUGACGCUGAGACGCGAAAGCGUGGGGAGCGAACAGG